CGCGAAAACUUUACAAUGCGGGAAACCGUGGUAAGGGAAUCUCGAGUGCCAGCAUAUAAUGUUGGCUGUCCAGAUGCCUAAAAAGCAUCUGUUAGCAAGGGCCGGGCAAGACCGGUGCCAGCCGCCGCGGUAACACCGGCGGCCCGAGUGGUAACCGCUUUUAUUGGGUCUAAAGGGUCUGUAGCCGGCCAAGUAAGUCCCUUGGGAAAUCUGGCAGCUUAACUGUCAGGCUGCUAGGGGAUACUGCUAGGCUUGGGACCGGGAGAGGUGAGAGGUACCUUGGGGGUAGGGGUGAAAUCUUGUGAUCCUCGGGGGACCACCAGUGGCGAAGGCGUCUCACCAGAACGGGUCCGACGGUAAGGGACGAAAGCUAGGGGCGCGAACCG
rnacentral:rRNA from 1 species